GACGAACGCUGGCGGCGUGCUCAACACAUGCAAGUCGAACGGAAAGGCCCUGCUUUUGUGGGGUGCUCGAGUGGCGAACGGGUGAGUAACACGUGAGUAACCUGCCCUUGACUUUGGGAUAACUUCAGGAAACUGGGGCUAAUACCGGAUAGGAGCUCCUGCUGCAUGGUGGGGGUUGGAAAGUUUCGGCGGUUGGGGAUGGACUCGCGGCUUAUCAGCUUGUUGGUGGGGUAGUGGCUUACCAAGGCUUUGACGGGUAGCCGGCCUGAGAGGGUGACCGGCGACAUUGGGACUGAGAUACGGCCCAGACUCCUACGGGAGGCAGCAGUGGGGAAUAUUGCACAAUGGGCGGAAGCCUGAUGCAGCAACGCCGCGUGCGGGAUGACGGCCUUCGGGUUGUAAACCGCUUUCGCCUGUGACGAAGCGUGAGUGACGGUAAUGGGUAAAGAAGCACCGGCUAACUACGUG
rnacentral:rRNA from 1 species